rnacentral:rRNA from 1 species
UGGCGGACGGGUGAGUAAUGUCUGGGAAACUGCCUGAUGGAGGGGGAUAACUACUGGAAACGGUAGCUAAUACCGCAUAACGUCGCAAGACCAAAGAGGGGGACCUUCGGGCCUCUUGCCAUCGGAUGUGCCCAGAUGGGAUUAGCUAGUAGGUGGGGUAACGGCUCACCUAGGCGACGAUCCCUAGCUGGUCUGAGAGGAUGACCAGCCACACUGGAACUGAGACACGGUCCAGACUCCUACGGGAGGCAGCAGUGGGGAAUAUUGCACAAUGGGCGCAAGCCUGAUGCAGCCAUGCCGCGUGUAUGAAGAAGGCCUUCGGGUUGUAAAGUACUUUCAGCGGGGAGGAAGGCGACAGGGUUAAUAACCCUGUCGAUUGACGUUACCCGCAGAAGAAGCACCGGCUAACUCCGUGCCAGCAGGCCCGGCGGUUAAUUACCGGAGGGGUGGCAAAGCCGUUAAUCCGAAGUACCUGGGCGUAAAGCGCACGCAGGCGGUCUGUCAAGUCGGAUGUGAAAUCCCCGGGCUCAACCUGGGAACUGCAUUCGAAACUGGCAGGCUAGAGUCUUGUAGAGGGGGGUAGAAUUCCAGGUGUAGCGGUGAAAUGCGUAGAGAUCUGGAGGAAUACCGGUGGCGAAGGCGGCCCCCUGGACAAAGACUGACGCUCAGGUGCGAAAGCGUGGGGGAGCAAACAGGAUUAGAUACCCUGGUAGUCCACGCCGUAAACGAUGUCGACUUGGAGGUUGUGCCCUUGAGGCGUGGCUUCCGGGAGCUAACGCGUUAAGUCGACCGCCUGGGGAGUACGGCCGCAAGGUUAAAACUCAAAUGAAUUGACGGGGGCCCGCACAAGCCGGUGGAAGCAUGGUGAUUUAAUUCGAUGCAACGGCCGAAGAAAGCCUUAACCCUACUCUUGACAUCCAGAGAACUUAGCAGAGAUGCUUUGGUGCCUUCGGGAACUCUGAGACAGGUGCUGCAUGGCUGUCGUCAGCUCGUGUUGUGAAAUGUUGGGUUAAGUCCCGCAACGAGCGCAACCCUUAUCCUUUGUUGCCAGCGGUUAGGCCGGGAACUCAAAGGAGACUGCCAGUGAUAAACUGGAGGAAGGUGGGGAUGACGUCAAGUCAUCAUGGCCCUUACGAGUAGGGCUACACACGUGCUACAAUGGCGCAUACAAAGAGAAGCGACCUCGCGAGAGCAAGCGGACCUCAUAAAGUGCGUCGUAGUCCGGAUUGGAGUCUGCAACUCGACUCCAUGAAGUCGGAAUCGCUA